GGCAAGUAGAGAAAAUGGCAGAAGGUAUUAAUAUUGAAGCAAUGCUUGAGGCCCAUUACAAGAAGGAUGAGAACAAGUUCAACAGUGCUAACGGCCAUGAAGAACGUAGCAAAAAAAAAAAAAAACACAAGAGCAGAAGUUGUAGUCAUGAGAGAAAAAGAAGCAAAAGUAAAGAAUGGAAACGAAGUAGAGAUAGAGAAAGGAAAGCAAAUCCAAGAGCGGAAACAAAGUAGAAGCAAAGAAAGGAGACGAAGCUGCUCAUGAAGUCAAGAUAGAAGAUACCGAGGCCAUUGCAGGAGUCCCUACUCUGGACCAAAACUUAACAGUGCCAUCCGAGGAAAGAUUGGGUUGCCUGAUAGCAUCAAAUCAAGCAGGAGACGGUCCCGAAGCAAAAGUCCAUUCAGGAAAGACAAGAGCCCUGUGAGGGAACCUAAUGACAAUCUCACUCCUGAGGAAAGCGAUGCAAGAGCAGUUUUGUGCAUGCAACUGGCAGCAAGAAUUCGACUCAGAGAUUUGGAAGACGUUUUCUCUACAGCAGGAAAGGUUCGAGAUGUGGGAAUGAUUUCUGAUAGAAAUUCAAGACGUUCCAAAGGAAUUGCCUGUGUGGAAUUUGUUGAUGUCAGUUCAGUGCUUCUAUCAAUAGGAUUAACUGGCCAGCGAGUUUUGGAAGUGCCAAUCAUAGUGCAGGCAUCAGAGGCAGAAAAAAAAAAAAGAAAAAGAAAAGGAAAAAUAGAGCUGCUAAAAUCGCAAACAAUUUACAAAAGGGUAGUGCUGGACCUGUGAGGCUCUACGUGGGCUCGUUACACUUUAACAUAACUGAAGAUAUGCUUCCGGGGAUCUUUGAAUCUUUUGGAAGGAUUGAAAGUAUUCACCUCAUGAUGGAUAGUGAAACGAGUAAAUCUAAGAGGUAUGGAUUUAUUAUAUUUUCUGACUCAGAAUGUGCGAAAAAGGCUUUGGAACAGCUUAAUGGAUUCGAGUCAGCUGGAAGACCAAUGAAAGUUGGUCAUGUUACUGAACGAACUGAUGCUUCUAGUGUUCGUUCGUUUUUGGACAGUGAUGAACUAGAAAGGACUGGAAUUGACUUGGAAACAAUUGGACAUCUUCAGUUAAUAGCAAGACUUGUGAAGGAUUUGCAAACAUGACUUUCCCAAGAGGCCCAAGCCUCAGCUUUAGCUGCAGCUGAGUCUGCUCAACCUCAGUGUACCCAGUUUUCUAACAUGUCUAAUCCUCAACAGGAAGAAGCUGGAUGGGACACAGAGAUAAAAGAUGAUGUCAUUGAAGAAUAUAACGAACAUGGGGGAGUCAUUCAUAUUUAUGUUAACAAAAAUUCAGCUCGGGGCAAUGUGUAUGUGAAGUACCCAUCUAUUGCUGAUGUUAUUGCUGCUGUCAGUGCACUGCAUAGCAGAUAGUUUGCUGGUAAAAUGAUGACAGUGGCGUAUGUACCUCCUCAACUCACCACAACCUCUUUCCUGAUUCUAUGACAGCAAUACAACUACUGGUUCCAAGUAUGAAGGAAGAUACAGUCCCUUCUGUUUCUCUUGAGAAUUCGUCUUGA